AUUAAUUGUUUUGUGGAUAUUUAACCAGCCCUGCUUCCCGGGUAUAAAUCCCAUAUGAUAUUCGUGAAUAAUUCUUCUAAUGUAUUGUUGGAUCCUGUUGACUAGU